AUUUGGCGGACGGUGAGUAACACGUGGGAACCUGCCCGAGAGUGGGGAAUAACUCCUCGAAAGAGGAGCUAAUACCGCAUACGGUCGAAAGACUAAAGGAGCAAUCCGCUUUCGGAGGGGCCUGCGGCUGAUUAGCUAGUUGGUGGGGUAAAGGCCUACCAAGGCAGUGAUCAGUAGCUGGUCUGAGAGGAUGGUCAGCCACACUGGGACUGAGAAACGGCCCAGACUCCUACGGGAGGCAGCAGCAAGGAAUUUUCGGCAAUGGGGGAAACCCUGACCGAGCAACGCCGCGUGGGCGACGAAGUCCUUCGGGAUGUAAAGCCCUUUUCUGUGGGAAGAAUAUGGACGGUACCACAGGAAUAAGCAUCGGCUAACUACGUGCCAGCAGCCGC
rnacentral:rRNA from 1 species